AAAUUGAAGAGUUUGAUCAUGGCUCAGAUUGAACGCUGGCGGCAGGCCUAACACAUGCAAGUCGAACGGUAACAGGAAGCAGCUUGCUGCUUCGCUGACGAGUGGCGGACGGGUGAGUAAUGUCUGGGAAACUGCCUGAUGGAGGGGGAUAACUACUGGAAACGGUGGCUAAUACCGCAUAACGUCGCAAGACCAAAGAGGGGGACCUUCGGGCCUCUUGCCAUCAGAUGUGCCCAGAUGGGAUUAGCUUGUUGGUGAGGUAACGGCUCACCAAGGCGACGAUCCCUAGCUGGUCUGAGAGGAUGACCAGCCACACUGGAACUGAGACACGGUCCAGACUCCUACGGGAGGCAGCAGUGGGGAAUAUUGCACAAUGGGCGCAAGCCUGAUGCAGCCAUGCCGCGUGUAUGAAGAAGGCCUUCGGGUUGUAAAGUACUUUCAGCGGGGAGGAAGGUGUUGUGGUUAAUAACCGCAGCAAUUGACGUUACCCGCAGAAGAAGCACCGGCUAACUCCGUGCCAGCAGCCGCGGUAAUACGGAGGGUGCAAGCGUUAAUCGGAAUUACUGGGCGUAAAGCGCACGCAGGCGGUCUGUCAAGUCGGAUGUGAAAUCCCCGGGCUCAACCUGGGAACUGCAUUCGAAACUGGCAGGCUUGAGUCUUGUAGAGGGGGGUAGAAUUCCAGGUGUAGCGGUGAAAUGCGUAGAGAUCUGGAGGAAUACCGGUGGCGAAGGCGGCCCCCUGGACAAAGACUGACGCUCAGGUGCGAAAGCGUGG
rnacentral:rRNA from 1 species